rnacentral:rRNA from 1 species
GAUGAACGCUGGCGGCGUGCUUAACACAUGCAAGUCGAACGAAGCACUUUAUUUGAUUUCCUUCGGGAUUGAUUAUUUUGUGACUGAGUGGCGGACGGGUGAGUAACGCGUGGGUAACCUGCCUUGUACAGGGGGAUAACAGUUGGAAACGGCUGCUAAUACCGCAUAAGCGCACAGCAUCGCAUGAUGCAGUGUGAAAAACUCCGGUGGUAUAAGAUGGACCCGCGUUGGAUUAGCUAGUUGGUGAGGUAACGGCCCACCAAGGCGACGAUCCAUAGCCGACCUGAGAGGGUGACCGGCCACAUUGGGACUGAGACACGGCCCAAACUCCUACGGGAGGCAGCAGUGGGGAAUAUUGCACAAUGGGCGAAAGCCUGAUGCAGCGACGCCGCGUGAGCGAAGAAGUAUUUCGGUAUGUAAAGCUCUAUCAGCAGGGAA